GAUGAACGCUGGCGGCGUGCCUAAUACAUGCAAGUCGAGCGAACAGACGAGGAGCUUGCUCCUCUGACGUUAGCGGCGGACGGGUGAGUAACACGUGGAUAACCUACCUAUAAGACUGGGAUAACUUCGGGAAACCGGAGCUAAUACCGGAUAAUAUAUUGAACCGCAUGGUUCAAUAGUGAAAGACGGUUUUGCUGUCACUUAUAGAUGGAUCCGCGCCGCAUUAGCUAGUUGGUAAGGUAACGGCUUACCAAGGCAACGAGGCGUAGCCGACCUGAGAGGGUGAUCGGCCACAUGGGAACUGAGACACGGCACAGACUCCGACGGGAGGCAGCAGUAGGGAAUCUUCCGCAAUGGGCGAAAGCUUGACGGAGCAACGCCGCGUGAGUGAUGAAGGUCUUCGGAUCGUAAAACUCUGUUAGUAGGGAAGAACAAAUGUGUAAGUAACUAUGCACGUCUUGACGGUACCUAAUCAGAAAGCCACGGCUAACUACGUG
rnacentral:rRNA from 1 species